rnacentral:rRNA from 1 species
UACGGGGGGGGCAAGCGUUGUUCGGAAUUACUGGGCGUAAAGGGCUCGUAGGCGGCCAACUAAGUCGGAUGUGAAAUCCCCAGGCUUAACCUGGGAACUGCAUCCGAUACUGGAUGGCUUGAAUCCGGGAGAGGGAUGCGGAAUUCCAGGUGUAGCGGUGAAAUGCGUAGAUAUCGAGAGGAACACCAGUGGCGAAGGCGAGUCCCUGGACGACUCCUGACACUGAGGCACGAAAGCUAGGGGAGCAAACAGG